rnacentral:rRNA from 1 species
AUGUAGUCUGCAACCCGACUACAUGAAGCUGGAAUCGCUAGUAAUCGCGGAUCAGAAUGCCGCGGUGAAUACGUUCCCGGGUCUUGUACACACCGCCCGUCACACCAUGGGAGUCGGAAAUGCCCGAAGUCUGUGACCCAACCGUAAGGAGGGAGCAGCCGAAGGCAGGUCGGAUGACUGGGGUGAAGUCGUAACAAGGUAGC